GUCUACGGCCAUGCCACCCUGAACAAGCUCGAUCCCAUCUGAUCUUGGAAGCUAAGCAGGGUCGGGUCUUGUUAGCACUUGGAUGGGAGACCACCUAGGAAGACCAGGUGCUGUAGGCG
rnacentral:rRNA from 1 species